CUCCCGGCAGGCAGAGAUCCAACCCCCUCUCGAGAAUCUCUGUCCAGGAAGUUUAAACAAAUAUUUUAUCACAACACAAACUUCUCUACACAAACCGGAGCAGCAGAACUUAAACAAGGACCUUUACAGAGGACGCUAUUGUAUGGAGACCUUUGGGUGUCCUCCCUCUUUCAGGAUGAAGAAGAUCUUAGAAAGACACUGAAAGUUACAGGGUAUCACCAUGCUGAUGCAACUAGCAUAUGUUUCUUCAGUCCUAGGUGAGUUUGAUGUGUUUAUUUUGUAUUUAUAUUCUAUUUCAGCACUAUGCCAUUAAUUUAAAUCUCCUUUUGAACAUUUCUGUGGUUAUUGUGUACCUCUACCCUGCCACUAGGAGUGCUGUCUGCAUCUGUAGUUAAAGAUGUUAAGGUUGGGGACUCUGUCACACUCCCCUGUAAAGACCAUGAGCUUAAAGACAGACCUGUGGAGCAGCUGGAUGUUCAGUGGCGGCUGGGUGAACAGCUGGUCAGUCGACUGUACCGAGGCCAGAUCAACUACGGAAUCAACUACAGAAACAGGACUGAACUUCCAGCAGAAGGAUCUAGUCGUGGAGAUUUCUCCCUGAUCAUCACACACACACAGCAUGGAGACAGUGGAGUUUAUCAGUGUGCGAUCAGGAGAAAGAACCAGGAGGAACCUCUGGGAGAAGUUGAGCUCAGGGUAGAAGCCCCCCAUUAUCCCAGUGCUGUGUUUGUUAAGGUGGGUGAGGAUGUGGUUCUGCCCUGCUUCGGUCGUGUAGACUGGUGGGGUCCAGACGCUGAGCUGGUCAGGUGGAACAGAGAAGAUUCAGAUCAGACAGAGGUUCUGCAGUGGGAAAAAGGUUCUUUCUAUGUGAAUCCCCAGUUUGCUGACAGAGCAUCACUUCGUGAGGAAGGAAUUGUUCAAGAUUACCUUCCUCUGGUUCUGAAGAAUCCUCGUCAAGAAGACAAGGGUCUUUAUGUUUGCUUGUUCGUGAAAGAUCAAAAAAUCAAACAAGCUGCCAAAAUUAAUCUGACUGUGACAGAUCAUAUGACCCAGGUCAGGGCUGAGUUUGGUACCUCAGUGCUCCUCCCCCUCCACAGCACGUCUGCAGUGAGUGUGUGGUUCCUGCCUGAUGGAGGGAACGAUACUGUACGGGUGUGUGAGGUGGAGGAAGGUCAGCUGAAGUGUGAAGCAGAGUACACACACCGCACAGUUCUAAACAAUGAUUUCCUGGAGCUGAAGAACCUGUUGCUGUUGGAUUCUGGAACAUUCUCAGUGAUGGAGAGAGACAGUCAGCGCACUGUCAGUGUACUCAUCCUACAGGUGUUCCGCACACCUCCACUUCCAUCUUCAGGAAAACAUGUGGUGAAAGCAGACUUUGUAGCAGUGAUAAUAAUAACAGCAGCGUUCGUGGGGAUUGCUGUGACUACUGUGAUGAUCGCAUUGCAACAAAAGAGGUUGAGUCAGGUGGUGAAGCGGCUGAGAGGUCGUGGAGCAGGUAGCAAAAGUCAUCACCAGGACCAUUCUGAUGCCACCAGCAGUAACACAGUAAUUCAGCUGCACCUUCCAAACAGCCAUCAGAAAAUGCAUUUUUCAAACGCAAGCAAUCCUAGCGAAUAAUGGAUGAACUAAUGCAUGACGAGAGUAAAAAAUGAGCCAGUUCUGCGUGUGUUUUCCAAAGAGCUUAGCAAAGCGAAACUUAAUGAGUUUAAAGACCGUCUUUGUUAACCCCUUCCUCAAAACAUUAUACACAUUCUGAAUUUCAAAUACCAAAGGCAUGUACAGGUAUUGUAAAGUACUCAUAAAAACACAUAUGAAUAUAUGUGCGGCUGCUCGGGGCGCCGUGACAGGUGGAGCGGCUGCUCGGGGCACCGGGACAUUCAGAGCGGCGGCUCUCGGUGGCGCCGUGACAGGUGGAGCGGCUGCUCCAGAAGCUGGGGGCGGGCUCUGGCUCACGCAGUAGGGCGUCGAAGGGGAAUUCCCCAGCGUCACACCAGAGAGGCGGUGAGUAGCCGGGGGCGGGCCUCCCCUUUUUCCUCCGGCGAGGCUUUUUUUUUUUUUUUUAGAAAAAAAAAGGCAAGACGAAACUCAGGUGUGGCUUCGGGCGGCCAAACAAAGGCACGAUUUGAGCCCAAUACCACCCCGUGCCGUGCUCCGCAGCUUCCUUCCAACCAGAUCACUGGACCCCGCCCAAAAGGGGCGGUUUUACAUUGUACUUGACUAUUGUAAGUCGCUUUGGACAAAAGCGUCUGCCAAAUGUAAUGUAAUGUAAUGUAAUGGUAGGCCCCUGGGGUUAGGGGCGUGACCACUGUGACCCAGAAGGAGGAAGCACACAGAGAACACAGACACGGGGAGUAAAUGAACUCAAAUCAUACCUUUUAUUUUAAAUGCCC
ensembl:lncRNA